GAUGAACGCUGACAGAAUGCUUAACACAUGCAAGUCCACUUGAACUUCGGUUUGGGUGGCGGACGGGUGAGUAACGCGUAAAGAACUUGCCUCACAGAUAGGGACAACAUUUGGAAACGAAUGCUAAUACCUGAUAUUAUGAUUUUAGGGCAUCCUAGGAUUAUGAAAGCUAUAUGCGCUGUGAGAGAGCUUUGCGUCCCAUUAGCUAGUUGGAGAGGUAACGGCUCACCAAGGCGAUGAUGGGUAGCCGGCCUGAGAGGGUGAUCGGCCACAAGGGGACUGAGACACAGCCCUUACUCCUACGGGAGGCAGCAGUGGGGAAUAUUGGACAAUGGACCAAGAGUCUGAUCCAGCAAUUCUGUGUGCACGAUGAAGUUUUUCGGAAUGUAAAGUGCUUUCAGUUGGGAAGAAAAAAAUGACGGUACCAACAGAAGAAGUGACGGCUAAAUACGUG
rnacentral:rRNA from 1 species